rnacentral:rRNA from 1 species
AUAUCGCGACGUAGUUUGAUCAGUGGCUACGAGACGACGCUGGCGGCGUGCCUAACACAUGCAAGUCGAACGGGGUAUUUCUUCGGAGAUACUUAGUGGCGAACGGGUGAGUAACGCGUGAGAAACCUGCCUUUCAGUGGGGGACAACAGUUGGAAACGACUGCUAAUACCGCAUAAGCCUACAGAAUGGCAUCAUUCAGUAGGAAAAACUCCGGUGGUAUGAGAUGGGCCCGCGACUGAUUAGCUAGUUGGAGAGGUAACGGCUCACCAAGGCGACGAUCAGUAGCCGGUCUGAGAGGAUGGACGGCCACAUUGGGACUGAGACACGGCCCAGACUCCUACGGGAGGCAGCAGUGGGGAAUAUUGCACAAUGGGGGAAACCCUGAUGCAGCGAUGCCGCGUGAAGGAUGAAGAAUUUCGGUUCGUAAACUUCUAUCAGCAAGGAAGAAUCAAGACAGUACUUGACUAAGCAGCCCCGGCUAACUACGUG